GCAUAUCAAUAAGCGGAGGAAAAGAAACCAACAGGGAUUGCCCUAGUAACGGCGAGUGAAGCGGCAACAGCUCAAAUUUGAAAUCUGGCUCUCGGGCCCGAGUUGUAAUUUGUAGAGGAUGACUUUGAUGCGGUGCCUUCCGAGUUCCCUGGAACGGGACGCCAUAGAGGGUGAGAGCCCCGUCUGGUUGGAUGCCAAAUCUCUGUAAGUCUCCUUCGACGAGUCGAGUAGUUUGGGAAUGCUGCUCUAAAUGGGAGGUAUAUGUCUUCUAAAGCUAAAUACCGGCCAGAGACCGAUAGCGCACAAGUAGAGUGAUCGAAAGAUGAAAAGCACUUUGAAAAGAGAGUUAAAAAGUACGUGAAAUUGUUGAAAGGGAAGCGUUUAUGACCAGACUUGGGCUUGGUUAAUCAUCUGGGGUUCUCCCCAGUGCACUUUUCCAGUCCAGGCCAGCAUCAGUUUUCGCCGGGGGAUAAAGACUUCGGGAAUGUGGCUCCCCUCGGGGAGUGUUAUAGCCCGUUGUGUAAUACCCUGGCGGGGACUGAGGUUCGCGCUUCUGCAAGGAUGCUGGCGUAAUGGUCAUCAACGACCCGUCUUGAAACACGGACCAAGGAGUCGUCUUCGUAUGCGAGUGUUCGGGUGUCAAACCCCUACGCGUAAUGAAAGUGAACGCAGGUGAGAGCUUCGGCGCAUCAUCGACCGAUCCUGAUGUUCUCGGAUGGAUUUGAGUAAGAGCAUACGGGGCCGGACCCGAAAGAAGGUGAACUAUGCCUGUGUAGGGUGAAGCCAGAGGAAACUCUGGUGGAGGCUCGCAGCGGUUCUGACGUGCAAAUCGAUCGUCAAACAUGGGCAUGGGGGCGAAAGACUAAUCGAACCUUCUAGUAGCUGGUUUCCGCCGAAGUU
rnacentral:rRNA from 1 species